CGGACUUCAAUAACGCCCCACAGCCACCACCUCCGAUGAUUUCGAUACUUCAACACCACCGCCUCCGACACUAUGCAGCCCCCUUCUCCUCCUUCCCGUCUCUCAGCUACCGAGGCCAUCCACCGCCCCCUCUACCUCUUAAAAGCGGCGACAUCCAACCUCCUUAUCCCCCUCCUCCUCCUCGUCUUCAUCUCCACCGAAGGGGAUUGCGAGGUUUCUCCACCGAAAGCCGAAGGGGAAGCCCGGCCUCCAUCUCUUCCUCUCUUUUCCUUGACAGAAGGUCUUCACAUAAUGAAGUCUUAAGCAAAGACUACUGUUUCAACUGCAGUGGAUGGAAGAACUGCGUCCAACUGAUUCUAUUUGAGUGUGAGGAGGUCUAUACAAUUUUUCUUGGAUAAUCUUUUGAGUCAGACAGAUGAUCAACAACAGACUUUUUCUGCAAUUGGUGAGGUGGGUUGCAAAUUUAAAAUAGACAAGAGAUUGAGCAUUCUUGUAUAUUUACUGCUUAAGAGAUUAUCAUAUGUGGGUGGAACUUUGAUCAUUCUUUACAGGAUUUGUUAGCAAUAGCAACAGGUCAACUAUUACAUUUUCUGUCCACCUUUGCCUUUGUCUUAAGGGCAUUCUCAACUCUUGAAGGUGCAAUUCGCACAUGUUUAGUAGUGGUUUUAGUAGUUAGUUCAUACUUCUUGUGUUUCACUCUCAUCAAUAAAUUUAUGGGAACUUAUUGCCA